CAGAAGCUCCUUCAGCUGAGAUAUUGGAAGGAGCCUGAGUUGCAAGUACAGCUCAUGAUAGCCCUGGAGGCUUGAGCUAUGAUACUGAGGAUUGACCCCCAGGCCCUCCACACUGGACGAAGCCCAAGGACCCGUAUGCCGCUGAGCAGGGGUCUUUAAAGGCAUAUCAGGAGAAAAUCUCACCGUCUUUCUGGGGACUUAAGUGGCCAGUGACCCAUUCUGAUC